AACGAACGCUGGCGGCAUGCCUAACACAUGCAAGUCGAACGGAACAUUCGGGUUUAGUGGCGCAUGGAUGCGUAAAGCGUUGGAUAAUGCCCUUAAGUUUGGCAUAACUCCCCGAAAGAGGUGCUAAUAUCGGCUCUUGUCUUCGGUACAAAGUUGUAUAGCCUUUGGAUGGGCUCGAGUGGGAUUAGCUAGUUUUUAGGCUAAAAGGCUACCAAGGCGACAGGCCGUAGCUGGUUUGAGAGGAUGAUCAGCCACACUGGGCGUGAGACACAGCCCAGAAUCUUACGGGAGGGAGCAGUGGGGAAUAGUGGACAAUGGGCUAAAGCAUGAUCCAGCAAUGCCGCGUAAGUGAUGAAGGCCGUAGGGUUGUAAAGCUCGUUUACCCGGGAUGAUAAUGACAGUACCGAGAGAAUAAGCACCGGCUAACUCCGUG
rnacentral:rRNA from 1 species